rnacentral:rRNA from 1 species
AUUGAACGCUGGCGGCAUGCCUUACACAUGCAAGUCGAACGGUAACAGGUCUUCGGAUGCUGACGAGUGGCGAACGGGUGAGUAAUACAUCGGAACGUGCCUAGUAGUGGGGGAUAACUACUCGAAAGAGUGGCUAAUACCGCAUGAGAUCUACGGGUGAAAGCAGGGGAUCGCAAGACCUUGUGCUACUAAAGCGGCCGAUGGCAGAUUAGGUAGUUGGUGGGAUAAAAGCUUACCAAGCCGACGAUCUGUAGCUGGUCUGAGAGGACGAUCAGCCACACUGGGACUGAGACACGGCCCAGACUCCUACGGGAGGCAGCAGUGGGGAAUUUUGGACAAUGGGCGAAAGCCUGAUCCAGCAAUGCCGCGUGCAGGAUGAAGGCCUUCGGGUUGUAAACUGCUUUUGUACGGAACGAAAAGCCCCGGGUUACUACCCUGGGGUCAUGACGGUACCGUAAGAAUAGGCACCGGCUAACUACGUGCCAGCCGCCGCCGUAA